GCCGAAGUGGCGGAACUGGCAGACGCACUAGAUUCAGGGUCUAGCGCUCGUGAGGGCGUCCGGGUUCAAAUCCCGGCUUCGGCACCA
rnacentral:tRNA from 1 species